UACGUAGGGUGCAAGCGUUAAUCGGAAUUACUGGGCGUAAAGCGUGCGCAGGCGGUUUUGUAAGUCUGUUGUGAAAUCCCCGGGCUCAACCUGGGAAUGGCAAUGGAGACUGCAAGGCUAGAGUUUGGCAGAGGGGGGUAGAAUUCCACGUGUAGCAGUGAAAUGCGUAGAGAUGUGGAGGAACACCGAUGGCGAAGGCAGCCCCCUGGGUCAAAACUGACGCUCAUGCACGAAAGCGUGGGGAGCAAACAGG
rnacentral:rRNA from 1 species